rnacentral:rRNA from 1 species
UACGGAGGGGGCGAGCGUUAUUCGGAAUUAUUGGGCGUAAAGGGCGCGUAGGCGGCCCGGCAAGUGGAAGGUGAAAUCCCUCGGCUCAACCGAGGAACUGCCUUCCAAACUGCCUGGGCUCGAGUCCGGGAGAGGUGAGUGGAAUUCCCAGUGUAGCGGUGAAAUGCGUAGAUAUUGGGAGGAACACCAGUGGCGAAGGCGGCUCACUGGACCGGAACUGACGCUGAGGCGCGAAAGCGUGGGGAGCAAACGGG